CAGUCGAACGAAACUUCUUUAUCACCGAGUGCUUGCACUCACCGAUAAAGAGUUGAGUGGCGAACGGGUGAGUAACACGUGGGCAACCUGCCCAAAAGAGGGGGAUAACACUUGGAAACAGGUGCUAAUACCGCAUAACCAUAGUUACCGCAUGGUAACUAUGUAAAAGGUGGCUAUGCUACCGCUUUUGGAUGGGCCCGCGGCGCAUUAGCUAGUUGGUGGGGUAAAGGCUUACCAAGGCAAUGAUGCGUAGCCGAACUGAGAGGUUGAUCGGCCACAUUGGGACUGAGACACGGCCCAAACUCCUACGGGAGGCAGCAGUAGGGAAUCUUCCACAAUGGGCGAAAGCCUGAUGGAGCAACGCCGCGUGGGUGAAGAAGGUCUUCGGAUCGUAAAACCCUGUUGUUAGAGAAGAAAGUGCGUGAGAGUAACUGUUCACGUUUCGACGGUAUCUAACCAGAAAGCCACGGCUAACUACGUGCCAGCAGCCGCGGUAAUACGUAGGUGGCAAGCGUUAUCCGGAUUUAUUGGGCGUAAAGGGAACGCAGGCGGUCUUUUAAGUCUGAUGUGAAAGCCUUCGGCUUAACCGGAGUAGUGCAUUGGAAACUGGGAGACUUGAGUGCAGAAGAGGAGAGUGGAACUCCAUGUGUAGCGGUGAAAUGCGUAGAUAUAUGGAAGAACACCAGUGGCGAAAGCGGCUCUCUGGUCUGUAACUGACGCUGAGGUUCGAAAGCGUGGGUAGCAAACAGGAUUAGAUACCCUGGUAUC
rnacentral:rRNA from 1 species